rnacentral:rRNA from 1 species
GAUGAACGCUAGCUACAGGCUUAACACAUGCAAGUCGAGGGGCAGCAUGAAUAUUGGCUUGCCAAUAUUUGAUGGCGACCGGCGCACGGGUGAGUAACACGUAUCCAACCUUCCGGUUACUCGGGGAUAGGCUUUCGAAAGAAAGAUUAAUACCCGAUGUUGUGUAUCUUUCUCCUGAAAGAUACGCCAAAGGAUUCCGGUAACCGAUGGGGAUGCGUUCCAUUAGGCAGUUGGCGGGGUAACGGCCCACCAAACCUUCGAUGGAUAGGGGUUCUGAGAGGAAGGUCCCCCACAUUGGAACUGAGACACGGUCCAAACUCCUACGGGAGGCAGCAGUGAGGAAUAUUGGUCAAUGGACGGAAGUCUGAACCAGCCAAGUAGCGUGAAGGAUGACUGCCCUCUGGGUUGUAAACUUCUUUUAUACGGGAAUAACAUGAGGUACGCGUACCUUAUUGCAUGUACCGUUAUGAAUAAGCAUCGGCUAACUCCGUGCCAGCAGCCGCGGUAAUACGGAGGAUGCGAGCGUUAUCCGGAUUUAUUGGGUUUAAAGGGAGCGUAGGUGGGAUAUUAAGUCAGCUGUGAAAGUUUGGGGCUCAACCUUAAAAUUGCAGUUGAUACUGGUUUCCUUGAGUACGGUACAGGUGGGCGGAAUUCGUGGUGUAGCGGUGAAAUGCUUAGAUAUCACGAAGAACUCCGAUCGCGAAGGCAGCUCACCGGGCCGGAACUGACACUGAUGCUCGAAAGUGCGGGUAUCAAACAGGAUUAGAUACCCUGGUAGUCCGCACAGUAAACGAUGAAUACUCGCUGUUUGCGAUACACUGUAAGCGGCCAAGCGAAAGCGUUAAGUAUUCCACCUGGGGAGUACGCCGGCAACGGUGAAACUCAAAGGAAUUGACGGGGGCCCGCACAAGCGGAGGAACAUGUGGUUUAAUUCGAUGAUACGCGAGGAACCUUACCCGGGCUUAAACUGCGCUGGCUUUUACCGGAAACGGUAUUUUCUUCGGACCAGCGUGAAGGUGCUGCAUGGUUGUCGUCAGCUCGUGCCGUGAGGUGUCGGCUUAAGUGCCAUAACGAGCGCAACCCUUAUCUUUAGUUACUAACAGUUUUGCUGAGGACUCUAAAGAGACUGCCGUCGUAAGAUGCGAGGAAGGUGGGGAUGACGUCAAAUCAGCACGGCCCUUACGUCCGGGGCUACACACGUGUUACAAUGGGGAGCACAGCAGGUUGCUACACGGCGACGUGAUGCCAAUCCGUAAAACUCCUCUCAGUUCGGAUCGAAGUCUGCAACCCGACUUCGUGAAGCUGGAUUCGCUAGUAAUCGCGCAUCAGCCACGGCGCGGUGAAUACGUUCCCGGGCCU